rnacentral:rRNA from 1 species
UACGUAGGGUGCGAGCGUUAAUCGGAAUUACUGGGCGUAAAGCGUGCGCAGGCGGUUUUGUAAGUCAGAUGUGAAAUCCCCGAGCUCAACUUGGGAACUGCGUUUGAAACUACAAGACUAGAAUAUGUCAGAGGGGGGUAGAAUUCCACGUGUAGCAGUGAAAUGCGUAGAGAUGUGGAGGAAUACCAAUGGCGAAGGCAGCCCCCUGGGAUAACACUGACGCUCAUGUACGAAAGCGUGGGUAGCAAACAGG